CGGGGUCGGUUCGAAGAGGGGGGUGGGCUCGAGGGGUUGAGGGGUGGGGGGUUUGAAGUUAGGGUUUGGUUUGUUUUUAGGUGGCGGCGGUUAGGGUUUCGGGGUUAAGUGGUUGGGGUUGGUGCUGGGCUCACUACUAGAAAAAGGGUAUUCUCAUGACGCAUUAUCCUCGGCCUCCCUGCGAACGUUGAGCCAACUCUUACUUCGCGUGUUUUAUCGACGCGGAAUCGUGUUGAGAUAGAAAAUGAAGCACGUGGCAAAUACUAUCCCACACCUAGCCGCGAAUCCGAAAUUUUUGAGCGAGAAAAAACUGAAACCCACUACUACUGCAGCUCUGCCUCACCACUCUCAUACCUUCAAAAUUGAAACCCUCAAAAUUCUCAGCCAUCCCUUUGCUCAAAUUAUAUUCGCUUCUCAUUGAGAGCGAGAAGAGAGAGAUAGAGGGAUAUUGCUCGUCAGAAAUGGCAGUUUCAGGGCUCUUCCUAUUCAAUCUGAUGAGCAUCUUAAGAUCUACCUAAUGAAGCUUUGUGCAUACAAAUGAUGUUCUUGCAAAGUCUAAAUUCUGGUAAACUCUUAAAUCAUUUUGAAAAUAAUGUUUUCGAAUUAUGGGUUUUUAAGGAAUGUAGUGGGUAGAUUUUCAAAUUUAUCUGAGUAACUGGGAGAUGUGAUUAUGAGAAUCUGGGGUGGAUGAUUAGUCCUUAAGGGUUAGUUAAGUUUACUUUGAUAGGAAGAUUGAAAUUCUACACUGUGAAGAAAAAUGCUUGCAGAUUUGCAUUGUUGCUCUUUUGUGUAGCUAUUGCUAGUGUAAUGGUGUUGCUGUUGAUUCUUAUUUCAUUUUUAUGUGUUUUUUUCUUCUGAAUUUCUCUAAUAACGACCCUUGAUGAAUCUCUAAUAAAUCAGAUCAUUUGAUUUUUGUUGAUAUAUUCUUCAAUGUAAUAUGUAAUGAUGAUGUUGUACUAAGGUUUCUAAAUAUAUGUUUCAGAUUUCUCUAAACUAUUACCCACACUUAUAAGAUCAACAUUAGACCAUUUUCUUUUGUCAAUUAAGGCACUCUCCUACAGUAGAUGUAGCAAUUAUUUUAAUGAAGUUUGUAAUAAAGGCUACUGGUGAGCACGAGUCUUUGGUCACUUUUGCCAUUGGCUGAUAUGUUUGACUUCUGUAGUCUAACAAAGGCAUAAGUGACAGACCUGCAAUGAUUUUUAAUGAGCAAGGAUGAACAUAUGAUGCAUGCCAAAUGACUCCAUGUGCCUGAAUUUGAUUCAGUGUUUGGGGCUGAUUAUUAUCAUUGUUGUCGAAUCGCUUGCAAGUUGUGACUUUGUUCUGUAUUAAUAUUAUGAAUCGAGCUAUUGUUGUCUAUUUUUUGGCUCAAAGCUUUUGAUUUUCUGUUACCAGGAGUAUUUUCUGGGCGGUGGUGGCGGCGGUGGGAAGCUGUGGUCUUCAUUCUUUUUUGUUUCUCGUUUUUUUAUUUCUAUUUUUUCAUGCCAUUUUUGUUUUUCCUUUUUUUUCGUUUUAAAUUUUGAUUUUAAAUUUAGGCCCUUUUUCUGAUUUUUUUGGCGUUGCAGGUGUAAAUAAAGGCGGACGGUGGUAGGGAAGACUGGAAGCUGUGGUGUCA